rnacentral:lncRNA from 1 species
UGGACGAGGUAAAAAAGGACAAUUUUUUUAUUUUUGGAAAGGAUUUUUUUUUUUGGGUGAAAAUGUAUGGAGAUCCCUCAACUAUAGCCUAUUUUCAGAAUUAUCUCUUUCCUUUAUUUACAAGUAGGGGUGAUAAUCCAACUCGUUGUUUGCAAGUCAAUUCGUGUUCGGCUCGAAAUGAGCUCGAGAUCGAAUCCCCUAUUUAGUAAACGAGCCGAACACGAGCUGGGAUUAGCUCGUUCAUGUUCGGCUCGAUAACAACUCAAAUACAUAUAUUUUAUAUUUAUAUAAUUUAUUUAAUUUAUAUAUAUAAAUAAAUAAUUAUAUAUAUAAUAUAUAUUUUUA